rnacentral:rRNA from 1 species
UGGGGAAUCUUGCACAAUGGACGAAAGUCUGAUGCAGCAACGCCGCGUGGGGGAUGAAGCUUCUCGGAGUGUAAACCCCUUUCGACCCGGAAGAAAGCCCGCAAGGGUUUGACGGUACGGGUAUAAGAAGCCCCGGCUAACUACGUGCCAGCAGCCGCGGUAAUACGUAGGGGGCCAGCGUUGCUCGGAAUUACUGGGCGUAAAGGGUCCGUAGGCGGUGUGGCAAGUCGGGAGUGAAAUCUCUGGGCUUAACUCAGAGGCUGCUUCCGAAACUGCCGUGCUAGAGUGUGAGAGAGGCGAGUGGAAUUACGGGUGUAGCGGUGAAAUGCGUAGAUAUCCGUAGGAACAUCCGAGGCGAAAGCGGCUCGCUGGAUCACAACUGACGCUGAGAGACGAAAGCUAGGGGAGCAAACAGGAUUAGAUACCCUGGUAGUCCUAGCCCUAAACCAUCAGGACUUGGGGUUUGCCCUGUACGGGGCAAGUCCCGUAGCUAACGCGUUAAGUCCUGCGCCUGGGGAGUACGGUCGCAAGGCUG